CCCAAAUUUUGACCUUUAAGUACUUUUUCGGGCAUUUUCGUGAUUUGGGCUAUAUUACGGACCCAAAAUUACUUGUUCAAGCAUUGUUUUCGAAUUUUUUCAUGCAUCAAAGCUCGUUAAGACUAGAUGGGGUAUCCCUACAUAGCGGGUGGGACCCACGGCGAAUGGUUCAUCAAGUCUUCAAAAAAGAAUAUAUACGAUUGCAUUGCAUAUACUAACGGAUGCGAUCAUACCAGCACUAAUGCACCGGAUCCCAUCAGAACUCCGCAGUUAAGCGUGCUUGGGCGAGAGUAGUACUAGGAUGGGUGACCUCCCGGGAAGUCCUCGUGUUGCAUCCCUCUUUUAUGUUUAACCUUUUUUUUUUUGGUUAAAACUUUAUGACUCCAUAACUUUUAGACCGUGAGGCCAAACUUGGCAUGUGAUACCUUUUCGGAAAGCCCAAAGACAGCCCUCCGACGAAAGAAGCAGGACAAUGGAACUUUUCCAUUGACUUUUUGUCGAC
rnacentral:rRNA from 1 species